AUUGAACGCUGGCGGCAGGCCUAACACAUGCAAGUCGAGCGAGCGGCGGACGGGUGAGUAAUGUAUGGGUAUCUGCCUGAUGGAGGGGGAUAACUACUGGAAACGGUAGCUAAUACCGCAUACCAUCAGAUGAACCCAUAUGGGAUUAGCUUGUAGGUGGGGGAACGGCGCACCUAGGCGACGAUCCCUAGCUGGUCUGAGAGGAUGACCGGCCACAUGGGGAUUGGAAAACGGUCCAGAGUCUUACGGAAGGAAGAAGUGGGAAAUAUUGCACAAUGGGCGAAAGCCUGAUGCAGCCAUGCGGCGUGUAUGAAGAAGGCCUUCGGGUUGUAAAGUACUUUCAGUCGGGAGGCGUUACCGACAGAAGAAGCACCGGCUAACUCCGUGCCAGCAGCCGCGGUAAUUC
rnacentral:rRNA from 1 species